GCAGACACAUUCCAGCCAAUCAGCAGCAGACCCUCUCUCCCAGACCCUCCCACCUCCUGGACAGCUCACUAAGAAUGCAGCUUCACAAUGGAUGCUGUCCAGGAGGUGGGAGGGUCUGGGAGGGAGGGUCUGCUGCUGAUUGGCUGGAAUGUGUCUG
rnacentral:miRNA from 1 species